UAGGGAAUCUUCCGCAAUGGACGCAAGUCUGACGGAGCAACGCCGCGUGAGUGAAGAAGGAUUUCGGUUCGUAAAACUCUGUUGUUAGAGAAGAACAGCGCAUAGAGUAACUGUUAUGCGUGUGACGGUAUCUAACCAGAAAGCCACGGCUAACUACGUGCCAGCAGCCGCGGUAAUACGUAGGUGGCAAGCGUUGUCCGGAUUUAUUGGGCGUAAAGCGAGCGCAGGCGGUCAAUUAAGUCUGAUGUGAAAGCCCCCGGCUCAACCGGGGAGGGUCCUUGGAAACUGGUUGACUUGAGUGCAGAAGAGGAGAGUGGAAUUCUGUAUGUAGCGGUGAAAUGCUUAGAUAUAUGGAGGACCACCAGUGGCGAAGGCGACUCUCUGGUCUGUAACUGACGCUGAGGUUCGAAAGCGUGGGUAGCAAACAGG
rnacentral:rRNA from 1 species